rnacentral:rRNA from 1 species
GACGAACGCUGGCGGCGUGCCUAAUACAUGCAAGUCGAGCGGACUGAAUGGGAGCUUGCUCUUGUUCGGUCAGCGGCGGACGGGUGAGUAACACGUGGGCAACCUGCCCGCAAGACCGGGAUAACUCCGGGAAACCGGAGCUAAUACCGGAUAACACCGAAGACCGCAUGGUCUUUGGUUGAAAGGCGGCGCAAGCUGCCACUUGUGGAUGGGCCCGCGGCGCAUUAGCUAGUUGGUGAGGUAACGGCUCACCAAGGCGACGAUGCGUAGCCGGCCUGAGAGGGUGACCGGCCACACUGGGACUGAGACACGGCCCAGACUCCUACGGGAGGCAGCAGUAGGGAAUCUUCCGCAAUGGGCGAAAGCCUGACGGAGCGACGCCGCGUGAGCGAAGAAGGCCUUCGGGUCGUAAAGCUCUGUUGUGAGGGACGAAGGAGCGCCGUUUGAAGAAGGCGGCGCGGUGACGGUACCUCACGAGGAAGCCCCGGCUAACUACGUG